UUUAACUGAAGAGUUUGAUCAUGGCUCAGAUUGAACGCUGGCGGCAGGCUUAACACAUGCAAGUCGAGCGGGGGAAGGUAG
rnacentral:rRNA from 1 species